UCGGGAUGGUGGAACUGGAUGCAACCUUCUGUGCUAUGCUCAUCGUAACUCAAGAAACUAACAGGCCGCAAUGCCGAGCAGCAAUUCUCGUGUCAGAAUGCUUCGAACUUAAAGGCCAUCCUCGUGGCAGAAAUGCAUAUAUUUCAGAUACAAAAGAUGCCCACUGCCAUGUAUUUAUUGUGUUGAAAUUCAUUAUAUACUAAAAUCAUUGAUUUUUUUUGCAUAUGAAUCGAAUGAUAUAGAUUUUGUGGUCAUAAAAUUUAUAUUUUGUUAACCAAAAUCAAUGGUCAAAGUUUGUCUUAAA